rnacentral:snRNA from 12 species
GUUCUUACCUGGUAGGGGAGACAUCACGGUCAGUCAGGUGGUUUUUCCAGGGUAAGGCUCAUCCCUUGCUCUCUGGGUGUGCUGCUUUUUAUGCUAGGAUUUUUUUGCAGCUGGACAAAGAUGAUCAUUGUAGGUCCUU